AAGAGAGAGAAGUGAUGAGGUGUUCUGAGGGAGAGAAAAAAAUUAAUAAAUAAAAGGAAGAAAAAUGAGAGGCCUGAAAUUGCUUGCUAGCCUUAUAUUCUUUGUGUACUUUUGUAGAGGAGAGGUCUUGGGUUACCUUAUCCUAUCCACCUCUUUCUAUCUCUGUCUUUCUCUCUAUAUCAUCUUCUCAAGAAUUAAGUUCUUUCUCUUUCUUUCUCUCAUAAUCUCUUCAAAUCUGUCUCCAGUUUCCUUUCACUCUUGCACUUUUAUUCAGCUCUACCAUAUCAUCACUUCUGCUCACUUCCCUCUCUCAUUUUCUCACUAUAUUUUUGAGGCACAAUAUGGCUCCUAAAACGAGCAAGGCAAAACCACAUAAAGCCAAAGGAGAUAAAAAGAAGAAGGAGGACAAAGUUUUGCCUGCCGUUAUUGAAAUUACAGUGGAAACACCAGAUGACUCACAAGUCACCCUCAAGGGUAUCUCAACGGACAGGAUCUUAGAUGUGAGAAAGCUUUUAGGUGUCCAUGUCGAGACAUGCCAUUUGACCAACUUCUCUCUAUCACACGAGGCACGAGGACCCAGACUCAAGGAUUCUGUCGACAUCGUCUCUCUCAAACCCUGCCACCUCACUAUCGUUGAAGAGGACUACACGGAUUUGCAAGCCGUAGCUCACGUCCGGCGACUCCUCGACAUCGUUGCCUGCACCACCUCGUUCGGCCAGUCGUCGUCCAAACCGGCCGCUCGAAUCAAUUCGAAGGAGUCCGGUCCGAAGGACAGCGGUUUGACCGAAGCCGAACCGACUCAGAGUUCUGGUUCUUCGGACAACGGAGGCGAUGCCAAUCCAAAGUCGAAAGGAGGAGGAGGAGAUAAGAAAAUCGAUGGUGCUGACUGCAAGAUUGGGACGGAUAGCUCUAAGGACGUGGAGGAGAAGGGGGACACGGUGGUUUCAAUGUGUCCACCGCCGCGGCUCGGGCAGUUCUACGAUUUCUUUUCGUUUUCACACCUCACCCCGCCAGUCCAAUACAUUAGGAGAUCCACGCGUCCUUUCCCUGAUGAUAAAACGGAAGACGAUUUCUUCCAGAUAGAUGUCAGAUUUGUGUUUCGAUUUUGAAUGAAGUUGGUUAUUGGUUGAUUAUAGAUUGAUUAGAUUAUUUGAGAGUAAAAAAAUUGUGAAAUGUAGGUAAGGGUUUGCAGUGGGAAGCCGAUGACAAUUGUAGCUUCGCGGAAAGGGUUUUACCCUGCUGGAAAACGUCUUCUUAUCUGUCAAUCUUUGGUUACUCUACUCCAGCAGAUUAGCAGAGUCUUUGAUGCUGUAAGUUCUAAUCCAAUUCCACACUUAUAUCACUUUUCUCUUUUCUUUCCAUCUCCUUAUUGCCAAUAAUAAUUUUUACUGCUUUACUUUUUUUGGUCUUUAUUGCUUCAAUGAAUGUGGGCUUAAAUUUGUUUAUGGAAUAAUUGUCUGGCAUUUAUCAAGGUAUGAUAUUUACUUGCAGGCUUAUAAGGCUCUCAUGAAAGCUUUCACAGAGCACAAUAAAUUUGGCAAUCUUCCCUAUGGUUUUCGGGCAAACACAUGGGUUGUUCCUCCAGUUGUUGCUGAUAAUCCAUUUGUUUUCGCUCCCCUUCCUGUUGAGGAUGAGAACUGGGGAGGGAAUGGAGGUGGACAAGGAAGAGAUAGCACACAUGACCACAGGCCAUGGGCGAAGGAGUUUGCAAUUCUGGCAGCAAUGCCUUGUAAAACAGCAGAGGAGAGGCAAAUACGAGAUAGGAAAGCCUUUCUGCUUCACAGUUUAUUUGUCGAUGUCUCUGUUUUCAAAGCUGUUGCAGCAAUCACACGUAUUAUUGACAACAAUCAGUACUCUUUAAAUGAUACCAACCAUUCAGUUUUGCAUGAGGAAAAAGUGGGAGAUUUGAUUAUUAAGGUGGCAAGAGAUGUUCCUGAGGCAAGUAACAAGUCGGAUUGUAAAAAUGAUGGGAGUAGGGUUCUUGGAAUGUCGCAGGAAGAGCUUGCCCAGAGAAAUUUACUUAAAGGCAUAACUGCUGAUGAAAGUGCAACUGUUCAUGAUACUUCUACCUUAGGUGUUGUGGUUAUCAGACAUUGUGGCUACACAGCCGUUGUUAAAGUUUCAGAUGAGGUCAAUUGGGAGGGGAAUUCUAUUCCCCAGGACGUUGACAUUGAAGACCAGCCUGAAGGAGGCGCCAAUGCCUUGAAUGUUAAUAGCUUGAGAAUGCUAUUGCACAAGUUAUCUACUCCUCAGUCAUCUAGUACAGUCCAGCGAGUGCAGACUGGAGAUUCUGAGUGUUUACGAUCUGCUAGGUCUUUGGUGAGGAAAGUACUAGAAGAUAGUCUGCUGAAGUUACAGGAAGAAACAAAUAAGCAAACCAAGUCUAUCAGAUGGGAGCUAGGAGCAUGUUGGGUUCAACAUUUGCAAAAUCAGGCUUCGGGGAAAACUGAGUCUAAGAAAACUGAAGAAGCUAAGCCUGAGCCUGCUGUGAAGGGACUUGGAAAGCAAGGUGCAUUGCUUAAGGAAAUAAAGAAAAAAAUAGAUGUCAGAAGCAGCAAAAUUGAAGAGGGAAAAGAUGUUUCUGUGGGUAAUCUUGACAUGAACAAGAAAUUGGAUGGCAGUAAUCAGAAAGAAUUGGAGAAAAAAGAACUGGAAAUGGAAACCAUGUGGAAAAAACUGCUCCAUGAAGAUGCAUAUUUGCGCCUUAAAGAAUCAGAAACUGGUCUUCACCUCA
rnacentral:misc_RNA from 1 species